rnacentral:piRNA from 1 species
UUGGGACAUUGAAAUUGGCUAACG